rnacentral:misc_RNA from 1 species
AAGUCGUAACAAGGUUUCCGUAGGUGAACCUGCGGAAGGAUCAUUAACGAGUUUUGAAGUGGGUUUGAUGCUGGCCUUCUCAGGCAUGUGCUCGCCCUACUCUCAUCCACUCACACCUGUGCACCUAUAAAUGACAGAAGAUUCAUCCCCUAGACUCUUAGGGGUGUGGCCCAAGGCAACUUGGACUAUUGGGUUGAGUCUUUUGCGUUUACUUUUCAUAAACUCUUGAAUGUAUUAGAAUGUCCAUGGCCUACGGGCUUUAAUAAAUGAAAUACAACUUUCAACAACGGAUCUCUUGGCUCUC